UGGUCCGGACCGAGACCACACCUGUAAUUUUGUUUCGGAUCAAACUGAAAAGUCCGAAAGUCCGGACCAAAUGAGGUAGGUGUGAAAACGCCCUAAGAAACUGGGAUAGACAUUUUCCACUAUUUCCUUACAUUUCAUAGACGAGUAAUCGAAAAAAUAAGCCGCCAGCUUAAUCGAAAAUGAAAAUAAUCGUUAGUUGCAACGCUACAACACAGUCGACAUUGUGUUACUCAUGGAUGGAUUCACAGUCAGAAUAAAUAAUGCCCCUUUAGCUGUGGACCCCCUGGAACCUCCCUCAAGGACUUUGGGAACCACCGAGUUAGAUAUCUGAUACUGGGACUUAUAUCUGAUAGCAGUGGCUGUAUAUCAUUGUUUGAAAUGUGUCUUCAAACCAAGCAGCGCUAAGGAGAAACAAUAAAACCCAAGAAGCAGUUAUCCCUGGGGGAGCUUGGGAGGGACGGUUGGGUUGUGUCCCCACUUUUUUUUCCUGCUGCUUUGUGUUGUGUGUUCCUCUCCAGUUCCACUGAUGAGAAAGCAGACGGGCUACAGGGGGGAGGGCACGCGCCGGCUGGACCUCCGGAGCGCCAUCACGACGCCAUCGCACCCCGCUGCGCCGCCUCACACACUGUCCUUGCUCCUGCAGUGAUGGAUGCCCGGCGCCAUCACUGCUGUCCUGCGCCUUCAGAAGGAAGACGAUCACCGUCCAGGUGUUUCCCCGCCGAGAGACGACUUCUACUGCUGGUGUGCUUCCGCGAAAAUGGCUUAGAAGAGUUCAGAACGCCACCACUGCUUUGUAGUCAGUGUCCGCAAGAUCCAAUUUAGCAGGAAGGUAUUUCAGGUGUUUUUUUUCGAGUCCAAAAUAAUCUGCUGCAACGUUCCUUCCCGUUUCUCUCGACUGUGCGUGUUUUCCCGGCCGGCUGUGAGCAACAGGCUGCUGAUAUAGCUGCCUCCACCCCCACUCUCACGUUUUGUCUAUUGGCUGAUGAGAAACACGGACACCGCAGCUAUCAAACACCUCCUCAUGCUUGUUUUCUCCAGCUGCCGUGUGCAGUGACCUGUCGAACACUUUGGCCACUUCUCCCUGUAUGAGACAGUCUUUUACCUGGGUUUGUACAGGACUUGGGUGCACAUAUUUUGCGGAGGGUUUAGGGGUCCUCCCUCAAGAAAAUGUUACAAAAACAAUAUGCAGUGUCACAUCAUUUAAGACCAUUAUUGUAACCAUAUCUGGGUCUAAAACGUUGGAAAAGCUAGAGCAGAUAAUAAAAAAACAACACUCAAAAAGCCUGCUAAAUAGAAAAGUAAUUUAGUUAGUGCCCACAUUGAUUUUACAUUCAUUCGGCUUAGGUGGUGCCCAAAGCGUGUAAGCGUCCAAGCCUUAUUCUGGUCUGGAAAACCCUGGUAUCGGACAUGUAAAUUCACUCAAAAGUAGUGUUUUUUAACGUGUGUUAGCAUCUCACUGAAGCCAGCAUGCAUCUUGGCCAGAUCCAGAACUGGAACGCUCUGAUAUUCAAAGCCUGUGAGAUCUGCUUACGUGUGUGAGAACGAGUAGUUUUUACACGUGGUGACAAUGUGUGAUUCACACAGUAUGUUCUUGGUCUUGAAAACUUCUUCAUUUGGGUGUGUGAUACCAACUACCUUUAAUACGCACUCUAUGUAUUUUUACUGCAGCGUGUGGGCGUGUGUGUGCGUGUGUAUGUGUGUGUCGGCGUAAGUGCACGUUUGUGUGCAUGUGCUCUAUUUGUGUGUGUGUGUGUGUUUGUUCCUGUGUGUGUGUAUGUGUGUGUGUGUGUCUGAUUAAACACAUUUGUAAUAGGCCUGAAGCUUCUAGCUGCUUUUCAAUGGUUUUGUCAUCGCUGCACACUUUUUCAAAUGCCUGAAUCUCUUUCUUUUAGUGCACUGGAUGUACCGGGGAUAAAAAAAGAAAAAAAAAAAAAAAAAACUUUUUACAGAUGAUUCUUAGCAUUUGUUACAACCUCAUUGAAGUCCCAGUUAGGUGGGGGCUCUUGCGAUUUAGAUAAGCACAAGAAUGUCGCUGGAAAUGAAUGGUGUGUGGCUUUCUAAAUGAUCCCUGCUGGCGCUAAUUAAACUGCCCCGAUGCCAACAGCCCCAUCAUCUGAUACUUCAGCAAAUUACAGCAAAUGCUAAUAAUUAUGUGCAAAUAGCUUCUUUUUUUUUUUUUAACCCAGGUCUGGAUUCUACUAACAGUAUCUGACUAAUAUCUAACAAUACUAAUGUCUGCUAACAGUGGGAUGAUUACUAACCUGUACUCUGAAUGCUCAUUGGCUGGCUUUUUUUCUAUCUAUCUAACCCCCCGACUAACCCUCUGCUUUAUUUGAUGCCCCCGCAGUCUGACACACACACACUCCUCUCUCAUGAUCCUGCAAUCCUUCUGCUAGAAAUCACAAACGCAGAUGGAUUAACAGGGUUCAACGUUAAGGUUUGAUGUCACGUGUCCGGUCGGGCAAGUGAAAAGAAAUUUGGCGUUUUACUUGCCCCAGGCCGUCGGGCAACCCUUAAUGUUGAACCCUAAAAAAAAAAUCAAUAAAAAGUGUCAAAGUGAGCACGUGGAGAAGGGUUUCAGGACUUGGGAAGGGAAAUGUUAUUAACCACUAGAUGGAAGGGAGGAGCAGGAACAGCUGGGUUGACCACACACUUUAGAAGAAUCCUCCCGAAGGCGAUUCUGAUCUGAUCCCAAACGGUACCGCCGCACUGUGUCCCACUUCACAGGCCCAAAUUCCCAUCUUGAGAGAGCGUCAUGUCUGCGUGUCUCUGCCUGCGCGCUGUGUGGUCAACCCUCGCAGGUGAGUGCCUGGCUUGUUGUUGUCACCACACGCCAAGCAUAACCGCAGCUCCACUAACUCCUCAUGGUGUGGAUACUAACAGCGGGGAGGCUGUGAAGGGCGCUCUUACUAACAUCUGUGUUCUUUCUGACUGAAACAUCCGGACGUCUGUAAUGCAAUGAUCCAGUCUCUUUGUUCAUCUUUGAUUAAAUCAAAGCAUGCCUCGUGGUACAAGUGGUGACAUGGAAGCUUUUAUCCAAAAUAUCUUGCUGUUCCAUGACUGGAUGCUUUUUAGCGAAGGGAACUAGGUCCUCAUAAACAGGCACGUUUUGUUCUUUCCACAAGCUACUAACAUCUAAAGUUAAAGUACUAACCAAAGAGCUUGUAUUAGCUCUCUGCAAACUAACAAACUAACCCACUAAUAAACUAAUAACCUAACAAUAACUAACUAAAAUCACUAACUGUGUGCUAAGUGUCAGAAUUAGGGAAGCACCCUGAUUUUGAGGAGUCGCAUCACUUAUUGAAUGUACUAACAGAAUUAAGUUUCUAAGAGUCGAAAUGUGUGUGUGUGUGUGCGUGUGUGUGUGUGUGUGUGCGUGUGUGUGUGUGACAGAGAGCGAGACAGAGAGCACAACUGUGUGUGUGUGUGUGUGUGUGUGUGUGUGUGUGUGUGAGAGAGAGAGCGUGUGUGUGUAUGUUCUCAUACAAUAAUUUCACAUAUCAAUGCAGAUUAUAUAUAUAUAUAUAUAUAUAUAUAUAUAUAUUAGAGCAGUUUUAGCCAAAUGUAUCCACAAUUACACUUUCAUACCUCUAAAACAAAAGACUGUGUGGAAGAAUAAUGCAUGUAAAGAAAAAUAAACUCAAUGUACACUA